rnacentral:rRNA from 1 species
GAUGAACGCUGGCGGCGUGCUUAACACAUGCAAGUCGAACGGGAAAUAUUUUAUUGAAGCUUCGGCAGAUUUAGCUUGUUUCUAGUGGCGGACGGGUGAGUAACGCGUGGGUAACCUGCCUUAUACUGGGGGAUAACAGCCAGAAAUGACUGCUAAUACCGCAUAAGCGCACAGAACCGCAUGGUCCGGUGUGAAAAACUCCGGUGGUAUAAGAUGGACCCGCGUUGGAUUAGCUAGUUGGCAGGGCAGCGGCCUACCAAGGCGACGAUCCAUAGCCGGCCUGAGAGGGUGAACGGCCACAUUGGGACUGAGACACGGCCCAGACUCCUACGGGAGGCAGCAGUGGGGAAUAUUGCACAAUGGGGGAAACCCUGAUGCAGCGACGCCGCGUGAAGGAAGAAGUAUCUCGGUAUGUAAACUUCUAUCAGCAGGGAAGAUAAUGACGGUAC